GGAUCGAGAAACCAAAGAGACAGAUUAGUUGGGCGAGUGGCAGGUUAGAUGAACUCUUUCGAUGGCAUCUUUGUGGGAAACAAUAUGAAAUGAUUUAUAUAUAUGUAGAAAGCUCAUAAGAAUGUUUGCAAUGAUGACCCAUUUUGCCCCUUAAUGAUCUACUCCCACUACCAGAAACAGGAGAUACGCCGAGUGCUAGGGGGUUUGCCGAGUGCAUUCCUUC
rnacentral:lncRNA from 1 species